GACGAACGCUGGCGGCGUGCUUAACACAUGCAAGUCGAGCGGAAAGGCCCUUCGGGGUCCUCGAGCGGCGAACGGGUGAGUAACACGUGAGUAACCUGCCCCAGACUUUGGGAUAACCCUCGGAAACGGGGGAUAAUACCGGAUACGACACAGCUUCGCAUGGGGUCUGUGUGGAAAGUUUUUCGGUGUGGGAUGGGCUCGCGGCCUAUCAGCUUGUUGGUGGGGUGUUGGCCUACCAAGGCGACGACUGGUAGCCGGCCUGAGAGGGCGACCGGCCACACUGGGCCUGAGGCACGGCGCAGACUCCUACGUGCGGCAGCGGUGGGGAAUAUUGCACAAUGGGCCGGCGCCUGAUGCAGCGGCGCCGCGUGAGGGAUGACGGCCUUCGGGUUGUAAACCUCUUUCAGCAGGGACGAAGCGUAAGUGACGGUACCUGCAGAAGAAGCGCCGGCCAACUACGUG
rnacentral:rRNA from 1 species